rnacentral:rRNA from 1 species
CUGUUCAACGGCCGCGGUAUCCUAACCGUGCGAAGGUAGCGUAAUCACUUGUUCUUUAAAUGAGGACUAGUAUGAAAGGCACCACGAGAGUCAUACUGUCUCCUCUUUCCAAUCAGUUAAACUAAUCUCCCCGUGAAGAAGCGGGAAUAACUAUAUAAGACGAGAAGACCCUAUGGAGCUUUAAACGAAUAACACUUGCCCACAUUCCUUUUAAUUUCAGAAAAAUCUUCUACCUUGGCAUCAUACUUAUAAGUUUUUGAUUGGGGUGAUCACGGAGCAAAAAAUAACCUCCGCAAUGAAAGACUCUCCAUGACUAAAUCAAGAACCACAACUCUACAUAUCAACAAAUUGACACCAAUUGACCCAAUUUAUUGAUCAAUGAACCAAGUUACCCUAGGGAUAACAGCGCAAUCCACUUCAAGAGCUCCUAUCGACAAGUGGGUUUACGACCUCGAUGUUGGAUCAGGGUAUCCUAAUGGUGUAGCCGCUAUUGAAGGUUCGUUUG